rnacentral:rRNA from 1 species
GAGCGUAGGGGACGAGCCGUUGUCCGGAUUUCGAUUGGGCGUAAAGGGGUGCGUAGGCGGCGCGGUAAGUCGGAUGUGAAAUCUCGGAGCUUAACUUCGAAACUGCAUUCGAUACUGCCGUGCUUGAGGACUGGAGAGGAGACUGGAAUUUACGGUGUAGCGGUGAAAUGCGUAGAUAUCGUAAGGAAGACCAGUGGCGAAGGCGGGUCUCUGGACAGUUCCUGACGCUGAGGCACGAAGGCCAGGGGAGCAAACAGG